rnacentral:rRNA from 1 species
AGCGAACGCUGGCGGCAGGCCUAACACAUGCAAGUCGAACGAACCUUUCGGGGUUAGUGGCGGACGGGUGAGUAACACGUGGGAACGUGCCUUUAGGUUCGGAAUAACUCAGGGAAACUUGUGCUAAUACCGAAUGUGCCCUUCGGGGGAAAGAUUAAUCGCCUUUAGAGCGGCCCGCGUCUGAUUAGCUAGUUGGUUGAGGUAAUGGCUCACCAAGGCGACGAUCAGUAGCUGGUCUGAGAGGAUGAUCAGCCACAUUGGGACAGAGACACGGCCCAAACUCCUACGGGAGGCAGCAGUGGGGAAUCUUGCGCAAUGGGCGAAAGCCUGACGCAGCCAUGCCGCGUGAAUGAUGAAGGUCUUAGGAUUGUAAAAUUCUUUCACCGGGGACGAUAAUGACGGUACCCGGAGAAGAAGCCCCGGCUAACUUCGUG